GGAAGGAUCAUUAUUGAAUUAUGUUUUCCCGAUGGGUUGUAGCUGGCUCUUCGGAGCAUGUGCACGCCUGUCUGGACUUCAUUUUCAUCCACCUGUGCACCUUUUGUAGUCUUUUUCAGGUAUUGAAGGAAGUGGUCAGCCUAUCAGCUCUUUGCUGGAUGUAAGGACUUGCAGUGUGAAAACAGUGCUGUCCUUUACCUUGACCAUGGACUCUUUUUCCUGUUAGAGUCUAUGUUAUUCAUUAUACUCUUAGAAUGUCAUUGAAUGUCUUUACAUGGGCUAUGCCUAUGAAAAUUAUUAUACAACUUUCAGCAACGGAUCUCUUGGCUCUCGCAUCGAUGAAGAACGCAGCGAAAUGCGAUAAGUAAUGUGAAUUGCAGAAUUCAGUGAAUCAUCGAAUCUUUGAACGCAUCUUGCGCUCCUUGGUAUUCCGAGGAGCAUGCCUGUUUGAGUGUCAUUAUAUUCUCAACUCUCCAAUACUUUGUUGUAAAGGAGAGCUUGGAUUGUGGAGGUUUGCUGGCCCCUUACUUGGGGUCAGCUCCUCUGAAAUGCAUUAGCGGAACUGUCUGCGAUCUGCCACAAGUGUGAUAACUUAUCUACACUGGCGAGGGGAUUGCUUUCUGAUGUUCAGCUUCUAAUCGUCUAAGGACAAUUUCUUGAAUGCUUGACCUCAANUCA
rnacentral:rRNA from 1 species